UACGGAGGGUGCAAACGUUGCUCGGAAUCAUUGGGCGUAAAGCGCACGUAGGCGGUCCAGCAAGUCGGGUGUGAAAGCCCUCGGCUCAACCGAGGAAGUGCAUUCGAAACUACAGGACUUGAAUACUGGAGAGGAUCGCGGAAUUCCCGGUGUAGAGGUGAAAUUCGUAGAUAUCGGGAGGAACACCAGUGGCGAAGGCGGCGAUCUGGACAGAUAUUGACGCUGAUGUGCGAAAGCGUGGGGAGCAAACAGG
rnacentral:rRNA from 1 species